CGCUCAUUCUAAUUCAUUUAUUAAAUUUUUUCCUGUUUCUGAAACUGUGUAUUCCGCCACCGCCAAGCUUAUGAGAUAACAGAUACGUGGCUUCUUUCUCUUUCUUUUUUCUGCAUCUCCUUGCUUACUCACCCUCAAUUGUAUCUCUUCCCACCGCCAUUGUUUCGUAGACCUUCCACCGCUUCUUUUUCCUUCUGCAUACCUUCAAUGCGAUUCUUACCCUUCUCCUUCCAAUUCUGUAAAUCAUUCAUCAAUCUGCUCCAUCGCCUGGCUACAUAACCAAUUGUUUUGGGCCAACCCGCUAUUAUAUGCCCAUUUUUUCUGUAUCUAACCUAAUCGGAAACUUGGCUACCCUUAGAUAUGUUACAUUUUUUCCUGUAUCUAACCCAAUCGGAAACUAAAGACAAAAUGGAUUUGCCUACAAAUGGUAUAACCUCAACUGAAAUCUUCAAUCGCUAUCAGUUUCGCCAUCACCAUCACUCUGCGCAUCAAUUUAUGUGGUGCUUCAGAAAAGGGGUUAGACCAAAUAACCUGUUUGCUUUGAAGGUUGGAGUAGCGGUGGAGAACAUCAAGUCUGCUAUCACAAAGGGAGUAGUAGAAGCAGCCGGCAUGUUCAUUCCCAAGUCACUGCCUCCGGUUUCCUUUAUCUGCAUCAUCUCUCUUGCCAAAUAAUCCGACCCAUUUGUUUCAACUGAGGAAACCACCGUACACCGCCAUUGUUACCGUCUAUUUCCGCCUCUCAACAAUAUAAAUACUAGAGUUGAAGAACAAAUUUAUCAUGCUUUCCUGACGACGAUGUAUGCUGUUCGAUUCCCCUUUACUGAUUUGAGGCUGAGAGCGACUGAUGUUGAAAACGAGAUGUUCAUUGAUCAAGGGUUUUGUUUAUGGGAUUUUCAAAUUGAAAUCCAAAGUUCAGCCGUUUGAUCAUAUCUUCUCUGCAGUGCUGCUACUGGUUAUUGUUGCAGUCUCCACACAGUCCUCUCUCAGUCAUCGCAAGCUUCCAAUCGGUUAUAACGCCUUUCCUCUACCAACUUUGUCCUAUUUUGUGUAAGUUUUGCUAUAAUUCCUUCAUAUUUUUUGUAUCUGAAUCAUAUUUAUUUCAUGAAUGUGGAUUUUAAUACUUAUAAUUGUUUUAGGUUAAGUAUAUAGACGAAAGAUUGACCAAAUUACAGGGUGGGGUAACUUUGGUGAUUCUAAUUUGAUUCUUGCUCUUGCUUAUGUCUUGACUCUUGAUCAUUACAGGUUCGUUUGCCCCAGGAAGCACCUCAUAUGCUUCACUCUCCAACACCAUCUGCUUACUAUCUCUACACCUUUAUUUCAAGUUUCUAUCAAUCUUUUUUCUGAACUUUGUUAUGCUUUCUUAUUUCACACAUCUUUCCCAGUCUUAUUCUCUACAUUUGAAAUUGUUGACUCACUCACCAUCACAAGUCUGUUUGCCCCAAUCAAAAGUUUUUUCCAAAAAAAAAAUUACACCAAACUAAUCAGGUUACAAGCCUAUCAUGUGACUAGAUGCAAUUUUCAUGACCAAAUUAAUGGAAACAGACACACAUAGAUGUAAUUUUAAUGGAUACAGAGAGUAGAAAGUAAAAGUUCCUUCCUGUUAGGCACUGUAUUGUUGUUUAUCAGUUAACAGCUGAAAGUUUCAAUGGGUUAUUGCAUUUAACCUUAUAUUAACUUCUUUUUAUAUAUUAAUUUAGGUACUUCAAACAUUUGAGUAUGCUUUGGACAAGUUUUGAACUGUUUCAAGUUAAGCAUGAUGAUGUAUGGUGGAGAUGGCAUAGGUGAGCUGUUUUAUGAUGCACCAGUUAAUGGAUGUAAGAAAGGAUAGAAUGAAACAACGAUGCCAACCAGUUCCAUUAUUUGGAUUACUUAUUUGAUAAAACUUUAUGAUGCACCGGUUAAUGUUUUGAAUAUUGCAAUGGUCCAUGCCACCUCCUUCGCCCAAUCACUUCCUUUUCAUCGAAGAUUUCGUUUGUUGACUCUCUCAGCGGUUUCCCGUUUCCAUUCCUGGCUUCCUCUUCUCACCUCUUUGUUAGGGUUUAAUGUUGAGAUGGAGAACAUAUAUUGAACAGGAUUAGAGAAGAAAUUAUGAAGGCAGCAGAUGAGUACAAUGGAUUCAGUUUGGUAAUUUCUUUUGACUUCGAUCGACUCUUUUUUUCUUUCUACCAACUCCAUCCGCUUUUUCUACUUUGUUUCCGAAAUUGGAACGUGCUCUUCUUAUUAGCUUCGCUCACCACAUGUUGGAUAAAAUGCCUUUGAGGCAUUCGCAACAAUUGUAACCAGGAAGAGCCCUCUCAAUGCGAUUCCCUGAAAUGUAUAAAGAUCAAGAUUGUUGAUUGUGGAAUGUUGAAUAACACCUUCUUUCACUUUUGAGAUUAGGUCAACUAAAUUAGAAUUCCGCUAUUAUGGGUAAAAGAGACCUACUCUCAUGAAUAAUAUGAAAUGGCAAAACAUUAGUAUCCUCAAAACACUACAUUUGUCCAUACAGCUAGCUCAGAAGCUGAUCAAAACCUACGUAAGACAUAAUCUAGACUGUUAAGGACAACCAAUAAAUGUAUCACAUUUACCAUAAUAUCCAUGUAUUUUCAAUUUAAUGAUACUUAUGUCUUUUGUUUGUUGUAGUAACCAACCAUUUUGGAAAUCAUUUGUACUACCCUCAAAUGUAAUGUAAAAACCUAUGAGUUUGAAUCAAAUCUUUCAGAAGGUUAUCAGCCCAUGCGGAGCAUGGGUCUCCCA